UAAAAACCACACCAAUAAUAUCUAUGCAA
rnacentral:sRNA from 1 species